rnacentral:rRNA from 1 species
GACGAACGCUGGUGGCGUGCUUAACACAUGCAAGUCGAACGGUAAGGCCCCAGCUUGCUGGGGUACACGAGUGGCGAACGGGUGAGUAACACGUGGGUGACCUGCCCCGCACUUCGGGAUAAGCCUGGGAAACUGGGUCUAAUACCGGAUAGGACCGCACCGUGAGGGUGUGGUGGAAAGUUUUUCGGUGUGGGAUGGGCCCGCGGCCUAUCAGCUUGUUGGUGGGGUAAUGGCCUACCAAGGCGGCGACGGGUAGCCGGCCUGAGAGGGUGGACGGCCACAUUGGGACUGAGACACGGCCCAGACUCCUACGGGAGGCAGCAGUGGGGAAUAUUGCACAAUGGGCGGAAGCCUGAUGCAGCGACGCCGCGUGGGGGAUGACGGCCUUCGGGUUGUAAACUCCUUUCACCAUCGACGAAGGUUUUCUGACGGUAGAUGGAGAAGAAGCACCGGCUAACUACGUG